UACAGAGGUCUCAAGCGUUGUUCGGAUUCAUUGGGCGUAAAGGGUGUGUAGGUGGCGCGCUAAGUCGGGGUGUGAAAUUUCGGAGCUUAACUCCGAAACUGCAUUCGAUACUGGCGUGCUUGAGGACUGGAGAGGAGACUGGAAUUUACGGUGUAGCAGUGAAAUGCGUAGAUAUCGAGAGGAACACCAUGCGGAAGGCAG
rnacentral:rRNA from 1 species